rnacentral:rRNA from 1 species
GACGAACGCUGGCGGCGUGCUUAACACAUGCAAGUCGAACGAUGAAGCCCUUCGGGGUGGAUUAGUGGCGAACGGGUGAGUAACACGUGGGCAAUCUGCUCUGCACUCUGGGACAAGCCCUGGAAACGGGGUCUAAUACCGGAUAUGACACAUGAAGGCAUCUUCGUGUGUGGAAAGCUCCGGCGGUGCAGGAUGAGCCCGCGGCCUAUCAGCUUGUUGGUGGGGUAGUGGCCUACCAAGGCGACGACGGGUAGCCGGCCUGAGAGGGCGACCGGCCACACUGGGACUGAGACACGGCCCAGACUCCUACGGGAGGCAGCAGUGGGGAAUAUUGCACAAUGGGCGAAAGCCUGAUGCAGCGACGCCGCGUGAGGGAUGACGGCCUUCGGGUUGUAAACCUCUUUCAGCAGGGAAGAAGCGCAAGUGACGGUACCUGCAGAAGAAGCACCGGCUAACUACGUGCCAGCCGCCGCAGUAACAC